CCUACGGGGGGCAGCAGUGGGGAAUAUUGGGCAAUGGGCGCAAGCCUGACCCAGCAACGCCGCGUGAGGGAAGAAGUCUUUCGGGUUGUAAACUUCUUUCGUCAGGGAAGAGUAGAAGACGGUACCUGACGAAUAAGCAACGGCUAACUACGUGCCAGCAGCCGCGGUAAUACGUAGGUGGCAAGCGUUGUCCGGAUUUACUGGGUGUAAAGGGCGGGCAGCCGGGUUGACAAGUCAGAUGUGAAAUCCUGCGGCUUAACCGCAGAACUGCAUUUGAAACUGUUGGUCUUGAGUACUGGAGAGGCAGGUGGAAUUCCUAGUGUAGCGGUGAAAUGCGUAGAUAUUAGGAGGAACACCAGUGGCGAAGGCGGUCUGCUGGACAGCAACUGACGGUGAGGCGCGAAAGCGUGGGGAGCAAACAGGAUUAGAUACCCUUGUAGUC
rnacentral:rRNA from 1 species